rnacentral:rRNA from 1 species
CAGUCGCCGCGGGAAUACGUAGGUGGCAAGCGUUGUCCGGAAUCAUUGGGCGUAAAGGGCUCGCAGGCGGUUUCUUAAGUCUGAUGUGAAAGCCCCCGGCUCAACCGGGGAGGGUCAUUGGAAACUGGGAAACUUGAGUGCAGAAGAGGAGAGUGGAAUUCCACGUGUAGCGGUGAAAUGCGUAGAGAUGUGGAGGAACACCAGUGGCGAAGGCGACUCUCUGGUCUGUAACUGACGCUGAGGAGCGAAAGCGUGGGGAGCGAACAGGAUUAGAUACCCCAGUAGUCCCUGUCUCUUAUAC